rnacentral:rRNA from 1 species
GAGGCGACCUCUGGUCUACCUGCUGUUCCGCCAGGAGCACCGCAGGGCAGCUAUGUCGUUGAGUGAUAAGCGCUGAAAGCAUCUAAGCGCGAAGCAUGCCCCAAGAUUAGGAAUCGUUAUCAGAUCCCUCGAAGACUACGAGGUUGAUAGGCUCCAGGUGUAAGUGCCGCAAGGCAUUCAGCCGAGGAGUACUAAUAGAUCGAGCCGUCUUGU